CUAACUCUCUCACUCAUUUUCCUGCUGGAAAUGUUUUUUUUUCUUCUUGAACUUUCACUGUUUCUGAACACUUUAAACAAAGAAAAUGACCAAAGGCAGGAAAAACAUCGGGGACUUCUCAACCCAUGGAGCCUUUUACAGGCUUUAUUAUGUAACGGCUGCUUUCGUUUUGUGAGCACCAAAGGAAGUUGAGGAAAUCUCUUUCUUGAGCGCUUAACUGCCAGAGAACGGUGAGACAUGGCUUCACGUGGGCAGUGACCCUCACUUCAGACUCUCGUCGGAAUGUGGAGUGUGCGGUAAAUCAAAGCCGCCUUAAGGAAUCUGGGCCUUAAAGUAUCUGUUCCGUGAUUUGAGCAGGAUUGCAACAUGAGUUACUGUAUUUCGCCCCCAUGAAAAUCAAUUCUUUAGAAUUCUCUCACAGGGCCUGGUCUAGCGACAGAGGAGUGUGACAAGUAAAGAGGCCCCAUGCAGGCUUUCCCAUAAGGAUGCUCCUCUCCGCCAGAGCUUUGGCAGGCCAAAGGAGGAGCCAUGAGGUCCUUGAUUGAGAGACCCUCACGUGCCUGUCUGUGGGUCUGUCACCCUGACUUCAUUUCGAGGACCUGAGGCUGCAGGAAGCAACCCAGCCAUCGUGUUUCUCCAGCACAGUGCCUUUGGUGAUACAACCCUGACCUGGUUUCUCCAAGGCCACUCAAGGCCUGAGGACCAUCAGACCUUGAAGAUCCGGAGAUCAAAACUGUUCAAUAAUUCGCCCAAAGUCACAAAACUGGGUUGGCUGUGAGGAAACAUCAAUAUUCCUUACAGAGAGAACUCACCGGAUUCCUUAAAGGGAGCUUAUUCUUCAUUCUCCCCUUUCUACUUUGAAGACAAUGUGAAAUAAUCCAUCUUCUGGUGACAUGGUUGAGGGAAAAUGCUGUGUCCAGUUCUCUCAAGUCCACCCCUCAGGUUGUUUCUUAUUUUGCACCACUAAAAAAUAAAAUUGUGAGGAGACUUCUUGGUAGAUACCUCGAUACCUGUGAUGAUUUGCUUUGGGCUCCUUCCUGGAAGUGAAGAUGCUGAGUUCAAGCUGAAAAGAGUGGAAUUCAAGAUAGAAGCUGGGAUCCUUGAAUGACUUCAUGGAGCCAAGUCCCUUGAUGAUCUGCAUUGGAAUCUGAUAGAAGCGAAAACAUUUUAUUAUACUAAGCUAACUGAAAUUUGGGGACUGUUUGUGAUAGCAUCUAGCUUGUCUUGACUAACACUAAAAAAGAAACCUUUAAGUCGAAUGCUGCUCUAAGGAAAAAAGAAAUAAAACAUGUAAUCUUGAAUUCAUAGUGGGUUAGAGAUGGUGUGAAAACAAAUAUUGGAGGUUGAAUUACUCCAGAGACUUGCCAUGGCAUGGCAAAAGAUUUGCUAUAACUGUUGCUUAUGCAGCCUGGAAGGUAGUACACUAUGUGCUUAGUAAGCCUAUCACUCUAGAGGAAGUUUUUGAAAAGAGUAUAAUAAUAUGUGUUGGCUACUAUUUGCUAACCUUAGUAAAGCAUUGCAGGAAAGAGAAAAACUCAAGAAAGAAUUGACUGCUUUGGAAACAGAAAUAAAAGAGAAUUAGAGAAGUCUAGAAAUUUGGAAGCUAAAAGAUUAGAAAGCUGACUACUUCUAGAUAGGAAACAAAAUAUUAAAUACCUUUGAGUAAUGAAGAUCCAUUUAGAUCCAGACUACAACGAUCUGACUAAGAGCGUGGUCUUCUCAUCCAAAUCUAAUGGCUUGAAUUAGUCCCCUAUUAAAUUCAGGGAGAGAAAGGAGAUGGAGAAGGAAAGCAAAGACAAAAAUCACGCAUAAGAAUUAUGUGUAGGAAAGAAGUACAUGUGUGGUUAUUGGCACAUAUUGCUGACUCGAAGCAAAUGGAUCAGAAACCUACCAAGUUUUUGAGGGAAUCAUGUUCUCAAAGAAAUUCUUUGAUUAUUUGAGUUGGAAAUAACCUUUGAUCUCAUAUUUGUACCAGUAUGGAAUGAGCUGAACAGGCUAUAAGGAAGGUAUGUUUCUCAACAAGCUCUCAUAGACUAGCAAAGCCAGGGGCAAUGGAGUACAACGGACGAGGAAAUUCCUUGGAAGGAAGAUUAAGAUUUAAGCAAAGAACUUUCCUUGCCUUUCAUAAUGCUUAUCCCAGCAUUCUGGUUAUAGAAACAUUGUGCUUAUCCCAGGAUUCCACAAUUGCUGUGGAAGAAUAAUUGCUAUAUUACUCCUGCUAGUUGUCCUUUUUCUGCACCAGCAUUUA